rnacentral:rRNA from 1 species
UAGGGAAUAUUGGUCAAUGGGCGAGAGCCUGAACCAGCCAUGCCGCGUGCAGGAUGACGGCCUUCUGGGUUGUAAACUGCUUUUAUAUGGGAAGAAAAAGGCCUUGCGAGGCAAAUUGCCGGUACCAUAUGAAUAAGCACCGGCUAACUCCGUGCCAGCAGCCGCGGUAAUACGGAGGGUGCAAGCGUUGUCCGGAUUUAUUGGGUUUAAAGGGUACGUAGGCGGAUUUUUAAGUCCGUGGUGAAAGCCUACAGCUUAACUGUAGAACUGCCAUGGAUACUGGAAAUCUUGAAUUCAGUUGAGGUAAGCGGAAUUUAUGAUGUAGCGGUGAAAUGCAUAGAUAUCAUAAAGAACACCUAUUGCGAAGGCAGCUUGCUGGACUUGGAUUGACGCUGAGGUACGAAAGCGUGGGGAGCGAACAGGAUUAGAUACCCCCGUAGUCC